CGGGCGGGAGAGGCCGCGCGGCGCCCGCCUCCGGCCGGCCAGGCCCCCGCCUCCGCCCCGCUCCCGCUCCCCGGGGGCGGACGGCGCGGCCCGGCCCGGCCCGGCCCGGCCCUGCCUCCCCGGGCCGCGGAGGCCGGCAGCCAAUCGGCGCCGCGCUGCCGACCCGCGGGAUCCCCCGGCCCGCGCCUCCGCGCCGGGGGCAGCCCGCGCUCGUACCUGGCCAUGACCCCGCGCCGGUCCCGGCUGGGCCAGCCCGGCGCUGCCCGCUGAAGGCACCGGCUCCUUUCCGACCUCUCUCCGUCGUCUUCGUCCUCCGCUUCCUCGCCGCCGAGACUGCCGCCUCUUCCCGGAGACCUGCCGGAGUGAUGGGCUGCAUCGGAUCCCGCACCGUGGGGGAUACCAGAAAUCACAACGGCAGUGAUUAGGCUUGUAUUUCUUUGAGUAUGAGAAAAGUUGAAAAGUGAUCUUAAAGGACUAAGUGGAUAUCCAGUCACCUUCUCCACGGAUGCACCCACUCACAGCCCAGUGUCAUACGUGUUUUCUGUUACACGGUGUUAUAUCAGUUACACAACAAUCCAGAGCCCUUUUGAGUGUCACAGCUGGCUUCUGCUUCUGAUAACAGCUACAAGUCAGGUCUGUCUAUUGGUGAAAAUCACUCACUCCAUCACAUUUCCUCGCUGUCCGGUGCCUCUCAUGAUAGCUGCACUUAAUUUCAGUGAAUGUAAAGCAGGUUUGCACUGAGGUUGCUGCAAAAUCUGGCUGGAAACCUAUAGAUACUCGAGUGCCAACUACAUGCAAAGAUCAGCUUGAUUAUUUUCUGUAAUGGAAUUAGCCAAAUUCAAGAUAUUUCAGGGCUGCCUACAUAUCUGAAUGUAUUCCAUUCUGAAUGCAUUGCGAGUGUACCUUUGACCAUAGCUUAGACAUAUAGAAUUGGUUGUUCUGACUAGUAUGAUAAGAUCUCUCUUAAAUUCUUCAAAUAGAUUUAAAUGAAUGGAAAACUCAAGGUUUUUUUUUUUUUUUUUUUUUUUUUCCCAGUGAUAUCUCUAAUUUCUUUGUGCAAAAGCCAGCAGCAAACACGUUUUAUGAAGGGAAAUGAAAUCUUGGGAAAAUAUUCCAAGAAAUUAGUAGCACUUCUGGAGUGUGAGGGAAGAGAAAACAGAAAUGUUUGCACUGGAUACCAGAAAACCUUUGUGACCAUGAGAAGUGUCAAGUGCCAGAGCAGUUUUCCCAUUGAGGUUGUACAGUGUCCAUUCUUUGUCUGUUUAAGACCAGACAAACUAAAGUCCUGAGAAAUCUGGUCUAACUUCACAGAUGACUCUGAGUUCAGCAGGAGUUUGGAACUCAAGAGGUGCCUUCCAGCUAGAAUUAUCCUGUGAUCCUAUGUUUAGAACCUAAAGCCUGAAGUGGAUGACUUUCUGAAUCAGAUUUACCCAGUACUUCAAUCCUGUGCUGUCAGAGGACUGCAAGUUUCCGCACAGUUAGUACACUCCUACUGCAUUUCUCCUGUCCAUCACUUUAACUACUUGGAAUACCAUAUUCCACAGACCAUCUCACCUCACUGUAAGAACUCCAGCUGUCAGCUGAAGUGCUCUCCACGUCUGCUUAACUUGGCAAUUUAAUAGUGCGAAAACUAGCUCAUGUGUUAGCUUGUGUAUGUUCAUGCACAGCAUCAGUCACUGGGUUGCAGAUUGGAAAAGGCAGUGCUCUUCGUUUGUCAUCCACUAGGUCAAAUCUGAUCUGUUGAAUCUAGCUAGCAGAUUUACUGGACUUCUUACACAGAGUGGUCAGUAUACAGUCAGAGAGUGAAGCAAUGCAGAUGCUAGUAAGGUUGGAGGAGCCCAUACUUUCUGUGUUGCUCUUUCACUGGCUGUGCUGCACAAAGUGUAUUGAUGGCACACAGCAUCGACAGAAGGAGAAAUGGAGCCAAAGAUCGCUCACUUCCAGUUCAUCUGCUUCAGAUUCAGCAGUGGGAGCAUGACAGGAGACUGAAGGAGCAGGGUAAGCACCUGGGGGAAUCACUGAACACCCUCUUCCUUUUUCUCCUUGUUCAUCCCCACAAAAGACCUGAAGGCUGUGUGGAGUAAGAUCUGUUGUGGCAAGUAUAGUAUAUGCAGUACAUAUCAAGGAGACACACUGCCUGGUUCCUCCUUUUCCAUCCAGUGUGCAGGUGUGGAAGUGGUAAGAAAUGGGAGGGAGAAAUUGAGGAGAGGAAAAGGUGGUGAGAAAGGAAACUGAGUCAUGGCAUUAGGGAUUUAUUUGUUUACUUGCAUGCACACAGGUGAAAGGGAAAAGAGCACAGGACCCUGUAGAAACCUCUGUUUCUACAUAUUUCAAAAUGGGUGGGCAUACAUGAAGAAGGGCAUCUGGAUAUCUUGUUUCUCUCUUAGCUGGGGUGUAGAAAAGCAAAAAAAGGGACAAAGGUACACCUUUCCUACCAGACUGCUUUGUGCUUGGUCUCGCUUAAUAAAGCAAUAGCUCCUACUUCUUUCUAGUCUGGCCUUUCUUCUUUUGAGCUGUUCUCUAUCUGAUCACUUUGAAAAAUCAGCCAAAGUGCUGUGGGAUAAGAGCUUAUUUCUGCCCAAAGUGUCUGAAUGGAGACCCUGUCGCUGACCUCACAACCAGUUGUCAUGAAGUGUCCUAGAACUAGAGAGAAUGGUUCAAGUUGCGCCAGGGAAGGUUCAGGCUGGACCUUAGGAAAUAUUACUUCUCUGAAAGGGUGGUCAGGCACUGGAAUGGGCUGCCCAGGGAGCUGGUGGAGUCACCGACCCCGGAGGUGUUCAAGGAACGUUUGGAUGUUGUGUUGAGGGAUGUGGUUUAAUGGGAACUAUUGGUGGUGGGUGAAUGGUUGGACUGGGUGAUCCUGUGGGUCUUUUCCAACCUUGGCGGUUCGAUGAUUCUAUGAUUCUGCAAACUGAUCAUCUUUGAGACCUCUCUCUCUUUCUCUUUUGUCAGGUUUAUUGAAGUAAAUUUUUGGUUUCAAAGUUGUUGCAGGGAGAGAGCUAACAAAUAGCAUAAGACUAGUUUUCUAAGGAAACCGUACUAAAAAACAAGUACAAGAUAAAUGUAUCAGAGAAGGUCAUUAGUGCAGGACAACUGUUUUGAGCAUGUUGCUGAUUGCCCAAAGACUUUUAUUUUUGUGGACAAUACUACUGAUGUGAUUUUGAAGAAUAUAUCUGCAGGAAAACAUACUGAGUCUGCAGACUCUUACAUGUAGUUAUUUGGUAGCUGGGAGUCAGUCUCUUCUAUAGGCUGAUGUGCGUUGAAGCAGAGAGAGUGAACUAGCUGAUCGGUAUGUAUUUUUGGCCUGUUUUCUUGGGGGAAUGUAGAGAAAAAUAGUUUUCAGCUCAUUUAAUAUGGAUAUGUUUUCCAACAGCAAAUAACAAUAAUGUCAGACUGGUACUUAAAAUAGCCAGUUCCAGAUAACUCGCACUGACGAGUGUUUCAACAGUUGGGCAAAAAUUCGAAGCUGUAGGUUGUUGGUUUUUUUUCCCCAGUGAAUCUUGAGAUACUGAGGAAGAUCUGGAGGUGGAAAGCUGGGUUUUUUCAAAACUUUAAAAGUCUUGUGAGAUGACUUGGGUACUGACUUUGUCAAUGUGACAUAAUUCCCAAUAAAAUAUUAGAAGCACAAGAUGCCAAUCGAGAAUGGGUUUAUUCAAAACAGAUCUCAUCAAGCUGACUUCAUAUCAUGACAUCAGUGAGACUUCCUGCAGUCAAGAGUGCCAGUGAUGGAAAUAACUUCAGCCAUAAUUUUGGGAAUAGUUCUAAAUUAAAAAUAAUAAUUAAAAAAAAAUAUAUAUGUGUGUGUGUGUGUGUGAAUUAUAUAAAACACUGAUCAGUUAGCAAAAAAAAUAGUACUUAUUCUUUUACUAUUAUUAUAUGAUAUAGUACAUUUUAAGUGCAUCAGAAUAGCAACAAAGAUAGAAUCAUUUUUGGAACGUUCGUGUUUCUUACGUGAUUCCAUAUUUUUCAAUCUAGGUGUCAGUACCUCUGAUUUAACAUGGGAAUCUAAAAUAUUGCUAAAAUUGGUAGAAGGAAAGAUUGAAUGAAGUACUAAAAACAAAAAUACAAAUGAAAAAGAUAAAUUACUGAAGUGGAACAGUUUAGUUGAUUUGGAUUGCUGAAUCUUGAAUAACUGUAUGUAUUUUAAACUAUCUAAAUGUGAACUUAUAUACCUAAUGACAGAAUGUGAACAGUAGGUACAGGACCAGAGCUCUAUAAUAGAAAGCAGUCACACUGAAAAAGAUUAGAGAUGUCUGAACAGAUAAUCAGUGGAUCAAUAGCUUCUAUUGUGAUCCUGCAGCCAAAGAAGCUGUGGUUCUUUGAUCUAUGAAGAGCUGGAUAUUGAAGUGAAGAGAGAAGGUUGUGUUUGCUUUGUAUUUGGUGUUUGUGGGGAAAAAAAAAUAAUAGAAAAAUCUUUGUCUAAUUAUAUUACUCUCACUUUGGGAACUGCUGCAGGACAGAAGAAUUGUUAGAAAAUCAGUAUGUGAACUGUGAAUGAAAUCUUACAUUGAUGACUCAGUGACAGUUUUUAAGUGCUCGAGUGAAGAAAAAGCAUCAAAACAAUCUGUGUCUUCAACCUGGCAGAAAACAGUUAAGAUGCAGUGGAAAGAUGGCUGACAUGUUUGGAUUGGAAUUAAGGCAAACAAUCAAAUAGUGAAAAUACUUAACUAUUGGAAUAAUUUACCAAGAAUUAUACUGAGUUCUCAGUCAUCUGAAUAUGUAAAAAGCAAUAUUUUUCUUAAAAAAAAAAACAAAACUCAAGUGCAGCAAUGGAAAAUGUAACUAAAGAAUGGAAUAUUUCUAGCGUCACCUGUUUCAAGGAGAUGGGAUUGGAUAAUUGAGAUGUUUCUUUGUGAAUUUAAGCUGCAAGUUCUCAAGCCCAGGAGUACACUAGAUUUAUAAAAGGAAACAGUCUCUGUAUCCUGGGAGGAUGUGUUUGUAGCUCUGGAUGCUGAUCAGACACAGCUCAUGGGGAAAAUGUCAUUGCAAAAAUUCCUAACUGAAGUGGAGAAAAUAGUAUGGUGGUCCAACCACUCAUGUAGCUUGAUGUUCCCGACCUGAAUAGGGACAAUAAGUUUUAGGGAUUAUAUUAUUAUGGGAUUAUUGACCAUUUACUGUCACUAGUCAGGUUGGUGACAAGUGACAGUGACAGCCACAGAAAGAUUGAGGAGACAGUGAAUGCAGGAAACUCAGUGGUAAUGUGGGCUUCAGUUAACUCUAUGUGUAGGCUGUAAGUUGAGUGUGAUGUAAAAGUUGAAACAUUUGUUCGAGGAACCAGUCAAAGGGACUGAAAAAAUCAAGUAAUUUGCCCUAUGCAGUGAUCAGAAUUUAGUACAUAAUGUUGUUACUAAAGAGGCUGUAGGUGACUGAGAGAGAUUAAGACCAUAGCAGAAAACAAGCAAGCAAGCAAAAACAUAUAAUAAUUUAAAAACAACAACAACAACAACAAAACCCUCAUGCCAUUAAUUUACAUUUACUUGCAUCUGCUUGUUGUGGUGGAUUUUGUGAAAGUUUAUCCUCUGGAACUUUUCCAUGCUAAAGAUGCAUCAGAAGCUCAGCUUCAGAUUGAAGCCUCAGUACAUGAUGUUGUAAAAUAGAUAGACAAAAGAAUAAAAUAUCAUUAAGUGGUAUUCAUGCAAGACUUCUGGAGGAAUCUGAGGCUGAAAAGGUUGAACUACUGAUUGUGUUAUGUACUGUUACAAUUACUUGGGUACUGUAAGAUUGGAAAGUAGGUAAUGUGGAGCCAGUUUUUAAACUAAUUGGAAGAUGUAGGAAACUAUGGGCAAAUAAAAGAGGCAUACCGGGAGAGCUAAUAAAUGUUACUCUAAAGAGCAAUACCAGUGUAUGCAUGAAAAAGUAAAAUAUACUGAGAUUAUAUAUGCUGAGUUAAUGCUAUUCUUGCUGAGGGAAAUAAUGAUGCCUUAUACGUCUUAGAAAGGGUUCACAAACAUACUGAUAAAGGAGAUUCAGUGGCACACUGAAAGCACAUUUGUAGAAGCUGUUAAAGACAUGAAUCUGCUGUUGUAUCACAGGGAAGUUCCCAAAAUUACUAAGUAGCUGAGUAAGGAUAGGAAACAAGGAUUAGCAAGAAAUGGCCAGUUUUCACAGGGAUCUUUCUUCAGAUUGUGCAUAUCCAUAAAUGUAUGAAAGAAGAAGUUAAAUAAUGAAAUAACAAAGUAUCAUAAUGAUAGUAAAUUAUUUGGGGGAGCAAACAAGAUGCUGAACACAGAGAUUUUCAAAAGGAUAUUACAAUAUUGAAUGACUAGAGUUUAAAAUUAUGGGUGAAAUUUAAAGUAGAUACAUAUAAAGUGAUAAACAAAGAAAACAGUUAUAGUGUUACAUUCACAGUGAUGGAGGUCCUGGAGUUAUAACGGAUAGCUUAAUUCUUAUUGCCAAUAACAAUGCCAAUUAAAUGUUAAUAAUUAGUAAAAAAAAAAAAAAGAUAUUAAAAUGAGAAACAGCAUUACACUACUAUGCAUGAAUCUUGCUGUGCCUGUAUUUUGAAUAACUUGUGUUGUCCUUUUUCAUCCCCAUUUCAGAAAAGACAUAUCUGAAAUGGAAAUGAUUCAGAAAAAAGGGCAAAAAGAUGGUCAAAAGUGUGGUGUGGUUUAUGUUUGCGAAGCCAUUUAAGUACAUAGGAAUUUCUCAACUCUGGAGAAGAGAUGGUUAGGGGAAUUAUGACAGAUGUCUAUACAGUCAUGAAUUUUCCCUACAACAUGAACGACGUGGAGAAAAUGAAGAGGGCAAAAAUAUUUCACUAUCUAUUUUAAAGACAGAAUGUAGACAUCUAGUGAAAGUGAAGUGGCAAUUUCAAACAGAGAAAAGCUAUCACUUCUUCCCAUAAUGCAUACUUAAACUGAAGAACUCUUUGUAUAGGAUGCUGUGGGUACUAAAGGAUUUCUUGGUUGUAAAAAGUGAACUGAUGAAUAGAAGAAAACUUAUUUAAAGGUGACUAAAUACAGAAGCAACAUCCCUGUCUCGGGAACUACUUGAGGUAUAAAUUGCUUAGAGGCUAGAAGAAGUAUUCUGGGAUAAUAUCACUACUGUUUCCCCUACUUACACUAUGUUUUACAUGUCCACUCCCAUCUGAGGGACAAGCUUAUACUCAUUCCAAACAAAUUCUAAAUACGCACUGCCCCCUUCCCACCAAGCUCAUUAAAAAAACCAAACGAAACCAAACCAAAAAAAAGUGAAGAAAGAAACCAAAAUGAAAAAAACACAAUUAUUAGGGGCAAAAAAAAAAAAAAAAAAAAGAACUAACAAGGAUCAGAAUUAAACAUGGCUUGUGGUGGGAGCUGUACGACUGAAUUGGUAAGAAGAGCAGCAAAAAUCUAAAUAAAAAGUUCUGGAGAAGUCAGACUGUCAUUGUAGAAGAGAUUUGAGUCAGGAGAUCCUGUGAACAAACUUGCAAAUUUGUGUUAUCUCCUUGACGGAGGUUUUUCCAUCAGAUGUUCCACAUGGGCUGGAGGAUUAUCACUGAGUAGAAACUGGACGCCAUGUUUCCUCAUCCUCUACCGACAGUGAGUGGUUCUACAACUGUAUAUCUGGUUUAGAUAUGAUGGUGAGGAUGUGGUGGUGAGGAAGUAGAGCAGUCCAGUUGAUGCAUGAAUGCAAAGAAGUGUUCUCAGGGAAGGUCAUCUGGUUGUUCAGAGCUUGCCAGAGUGGCAUGUAGGUUGAACAGGGAGUCACAGGCCGAGGCCUUAGGAGGACCUCCAUGGAGCUAGGUGUUGGAGGGAUCUAAACUCCUGUGGGACUUGCCUGAGGUAGGAGAUGUGGUGUAAUCUGAGUACACCAGGCAAGUGAUGUAGGGUUGACUGACCAUACAGCCAGUGGUCCACAGUUCUGGUAAUGCUGCAGGGGCCAUCCUUCCAUUCAGUGAGGAGGUUACUGCCCGCUCACAGACGUGGGUUUUAUGCAGCAGUGGCCCAAAAAGACAUUUCCCUUUGUUGGUGAUCAUUAGAGACUUGAUUGCACCACAGAGCUUCUAGGUUCUGAGAAGGGCUUUGUCAAAGACCAGAAGUUGGAGAAAAUCUUGCAGAAGGCUUCUUGUGCCAGGGGUGUAGACAUCUCAGAAGAGUUGGAGAAAGGCAUAUGCCGGCACAAUCUAGCUUGGGCUGCCUGAACUAUGCAAGAGUCUGUUCAGAACUCCAGCAAUUUGUCUCAGAGGUUAGUGAGUGUUGCAGGGAUAAAGUACAGGGUUUUGAUGCAGUAUUGAGGCACAGUCAAUAUUCACUGAUUGAUGACCAAGACCCUACCUGAAGAAAAUCUUACUGCAUAUGUUCUGCCCACUUUUGCAGGCACUCAUGAUGCCUUGACCUUCUUCUCUUUUCAACUAGUAGCUAGAAGGUGGCUGGUAGCAGAGAGGUAGGCUCUCAGAGGAAGGGACAUGUACCCCACUGGUGUGUACUGCAACUGUGAGCUUGCUAGCAGCCUGUGUAAGCAUUUACCAGGACAGAACUCUUGAUCCAUUUUAUUUGGGCAGAGGAAGGUGCUGCAUUCAGUAUUUGGUAGACCCAUUUGUGCCACAUCCUUUAUGCACCAGACUUUGAGAAGCAUGUCAGUAAUGUAUACUUACGAGACCAUCCACAAGUUUAGUUCUCUGAAGACCAGGUCCAUCAUGCCCUAAGAUAAUAUACAGAAGGACUCUAUGCUGGUAGAGUGGUUAUGGGUGGAAUGGAGCAGUCCUGACUCACUCCCCAUCUGAAGCCAAAAGGACCCUGUUGAGCAAGCACUGUGGAUGUACGCGGCAGCUGGAGAAACUUGGUGAAGCAGGAGUUGAAACUGAAUGCCUUCAGAGUCCUCUCCAAAAAAUACUGUUAAAUACUUUCUUCUGUUUGGGGAACCAGGAGGCGAAUAAAGUGAAUGGCAGAUUGUCUCUGUGUGGUCUUAGAUCUGGUACAGUUUCAUUGCUCUGUACUGGUAUCAUGUAGCUCUAAUUUGGGUGGACCCAGCACAGACUUCAGCUACAUUAUAGAUUUAGCUACACUGUGUGUUUGCUAAGGAUUGAUGCUUUGCAGCCC
rnacentral:lncRNA from 1 species